rnacentral:rRNA from 1 species
AUUGAACGCUGGCGGCAGGCUUAACACAUGCAAGUCGAGCGGGGAUUGGGUGCUUGCACCUAAUCUUAGCGGCGGACGGGUGAGUAAAGCUUAGGAAUCUGCCAUUUAGUGGGGGACAACAUUCCGAAAGGGAUGCUAAUACCGCAUACGCCCUACGGGGGAAAGCAGGGGAUCUUCGGACCUUGCGCUAAAUGAUGAGCCUAAGUCGGAUUAGCUAGUUGGUGGGGUAAAGGCCUACCAAGGCGACGAUCUGUAGCGGGUCUGAGAGGAUGAUCCGCCACACUGGGACUGAGACACGGCCCAGACUCCUACGGGAGGCAGCAGUGGGGAAUAUUGGACAAUGGGCGGAAGCCUGAUCCAGCCAUGCCGCGUGUGUGAAGAAGGCCUUAUGGUUGUAAAGCACUUUAAGUGGGGAGGAGGCUUACCUGGUUAAUACCUGGGAUAAGUGGACGUUACCCACAGAAUAAGCACCGGCUAACUCUGUG